GAUGAAGAACGCAGCGAAAUGCGAUAAGUAAUGUGAAUUGCAGAAUUCAGUGAAUCAUCGAAUCUUUGAACGCACAUUGCGCCCGCCAGUAUUCUGGCGGGCAUGCCUGUUCGAGCGUCAUUACAACCCUCAGGCCCCCGGGCCUGGCGUUGGGGAUCGGCGGAAGCCCCCUGUGGGCACACGCCGUCCCUCAAAUACAGUGGCGGUCCCGCCGCAGCUUCCAUUGCGUAGUAGCUAACACCUCGCAACUGGAGAGCGGCGCGGCCAUGCCGUAAAACACCCAACUUCUGAAUGUUGACCUCGGAUCAGGUAGGGAUACCCGCUGAACUUAAGCAUAUCAAUAAGCGGAGGA
rnacentral:misc_RNA from 1 species